UACAGAGGUCCCAAGCGUUGUUCGGAUUCAUUGGGCGUAAAGGGUGCGUAGGCGGCGCGGUAAGUCGGGUGUGAAAUCUCGGAGCUUAACUCCGAAACUGCAUUCGAUACUGCCGUGCUGGAGGACUGGAGAGGAGACUGGAAUUUACGGUGUAGCGGUGAAAUGCGUAGAUAUCGUAAGGAAGACCAGUGGCGAAGGCGGGUCUCUGGACAGUUCCUGACGCUGAGGCACGAAGGCCAGGGGAGCAAACGGG
rnacentral:rRNA from 1 species